GGCCCUGUGGUGGAAUUGGUAGACGCGCUUGACUCAAAAUCAAGUUCCGCAAGGAGUGUCGGUUCAAGUCCGACCAGGGCCACCA
rnacentral:tRNA from 1 species